rnacentral:rRNA from 1 species
UGGGGAAUAUUGCACAAUGGGCGCAAGCCUGAUGCAGCCAUGCCGCGUGUAUGAAGAAGGCCUUCGGGUUGUAAAGUACUUUCAGUCGGGAGGAAGGUGUCAAGGUUAAUAACCUUGGCAAUUGACGUUACCGACAGAAGAAGCACCGGCUAACUCCGUGCCAGCAGCCGCGGUAAUACGGAGGGUGCAAGCGUUAAUCGGAAUUACUGGGCGUAAAGCGCACGCAGGCGGUUGAUUGAGUCAGAUGUGAAAUCCCCGGGCUUAAUCCGGGGAUUGCAUCUGAUACUGGUCAGAUAGAGUCUUGUAGAGGGGGGUAGAUUUCCAUGUGUAGCGGGGAAAGGCGUAGGGAUGUGGGGGAAUACCGGUGGCGAAGGCGGCCCCCUGGACAAAGACUGACGCUCAGGUGCGAAAGCGUGGGGAGCAAACAGG